rnacentral:rRNA from 1 species
GCUGUCGCUAUGGGGAUGGCCCCGCGGUGCAUUAGCUAGUUGGCAAGGUAAAGGGCUUACCAAGGCGAUGAUGCAUAGCCCGAGUUGAGAGACUGAUCGGGCCACAUUGGGGACUGAGACACGGGCCCAAACUCCUACGGGAGGCAGCAGUAGGGAAUCUUCCACAAUGGACGCAAGUCUGAUGGAGCAAAUGCCGCGUGAGUGAAGAAGGUUUUCGGAUCGUAAAAGCUCUGUUGUUGGUGAAGAAGGAUAGAGGUAGUAACUGGCCUUUAUUUGACGGUAAUCAACCAGAAAGUCACGGGCUAACUACGUGCCAGCAGCCGGGUAAAU